UACGGAGGGUGCAAGCGCUAUCCGGAUUCACUGGGUUUAAAGGGUGCGUAGGUGGGCAAGUAAGUCAGUGGUGAAAUCUCCGGGCUUAACCCGGAAACUGCCAUUGAUACUAUUUGUCUUGAAUACUGUGGAGGUCAGCGGAAUAUGUCAUGUAGCGGUGAAAUGCUUAGAUAUGACAUAGAACACCAAUUGCGAAGGCAGCUGGCUACACAAAUAUUGACACUGAGGCACGAAAGCGUGGGGAUCAAACAGG
rnacentral:rRNA from 1 species